rnacentral:misc_RNA from 1 species
AAUCCGUCCUGUGAAAUGUAGAAAGCCCUGACGUAGCACAUACGUCAGGGCUUUCUACAUUUCACAGGACAGAUU